rnacentral:rRNA from 1 species
CGCUGGCGGCACGCCUAACACAUGCAAGUCGAACGAAGUAGCAAUACUUAGUGGCAGACGGGUGAGUAACAUGUAGGUAUCUGCCCUUUGGCCUGGAAUAACACGAGGAAACUUGUGCUAAUACCGGAUAAGUCUUCACGGAGAAAGCUUUAUGCACCAUUGGAUGAGCCUGCACUUGAUUAGUUUGUUGGUGGGGUAAUGGCCUACCAAGACUUUGAUCAAUAGCUGAUUUGAGAGGAUGAUCAGCCACAUUGGGACUGAGACACGGCCCAAACUCCUACGGGAGGCAGCAGUGGGGAAUCUUGCACAAUGGAGGAAACUCUGAUGCAGCGAUGCCGCGUGAGUGAAGAAGGCCCUUGGGUUGUAAAGCUCUUUCGUCGGGGAAGAAAAUGACUGUACCCGAAUAAGAAGGUCCGGCUAACUUCGUGCCAGCAGCCGCGGUAAUACGAAGGGACCUAGCGUAGUUCGGAAUUACUGGGCUUAAAGAGUUCGUAGGUGGUUGAAAAAGUUGGUGGUGAAAUCCCAGAGCUUAACUCUGGAACUGCCAUCAAAACUUUUCAGCUAGAGUUUGAUAGAGGAAAGCAGAAUUUCUAGUGUAGAGGUGAAAUUCGUAGAUAUUAGAAAGAAUACCAAUUGCGAAGGCAGCUUUCUGGAUCAUUACUGACACUGAGGAACGAAAGCAUGGGUAGCGAAGAGGAUUAGAUACCCUCGUAGUCCAUGCCGUAAACGAUGUGUGUUAGACGUUGGAAAUUUAUUUUCAGUGUCGCAGCGAAAGCGAUAAACACACCGCCUGGGGAGUACGACCGC